rnacentral:snRNA from 1 species
AUACUUACCUGGCGCGGGGGAUACCGUGAUCAAGAAGGCGGUGCCUCCAGGACGAGGCCUGUUACAUUGCACUCCGUAUGGGCUGACUCUGCGCGACUACCCAAAUCGGGGUGGCUCGAGCGCAUAAUUUUUUGGUAGUGGGGACAAGCGUUCGCCGCUGUCCCUU